rnacentral:rRNA from 1 species
UACGUAGGUGGCAAGCGUUGUUCGGAAUUACUGGGCGUAAAGCGCACGUAGGCGGACUGUUAAGUCAGGGGUGAAAUCCUGGAGCUCAACUCCAGAACUGCCUUUGAUACUGAUGGUCUCGAGUCCGGAAGAGGUGAGUGGAAUUCCGAGUGUAGAGGUGAAAUUCGUAGAUAUUCGGAGGAACACCAGUGGCGAAGGCGGCUCACUGGUCCGGUACUGACGCUGAGGUGCGAAAGCGUGGGGAGCAAACAGG